UGUCCACAUAUCAGGCUCAUCAUUAACCUGGUGACUCCUAAGUACCAGUAAUACACUGGUAUCGUGUGUUAUUUUGUGCCUAGUUGCAGUUGAACUUACCUGUAGCUCAGCUUGUGAGUGUCUUACCUUGACAGUUCUUCUCUGAACUAUGAAUUCUGGUGAAUUGACCAGGUAAUUGCACACCUUAGGCCAAACUAGUUGAAAUGGAAGCAAUCUCAAACAAUUUUUCAACUUGGUUAUUUUGGUCUUUUGUUUGCACUUUUUCGCAAUUCCAAGUCUAGUGCAUAACCAUGAUAAAGGAAGGGAAAAGAGAAUGAAUAGGAUAUAAAAAAGUGAUAAUCAUGGGAUCAGUCAAAGAGAAAGUGAGGGAGCUUGACAGAAAAUUGGCAGAAAACAAGGGACACACUGGAGAAAUGUAACACCAUUGCCAUGGGUGGGAGAGGAGGGAGAAAACACCACAGGUGAGUGGAGGAGAGCGAGGAAGAGUCAUAGCUGGUAGAGACCAACAGGCAGAGGAGGAUAAGAACAAGGGUUCUAAAGGUUUUCUAAAUGAAGAAAACAAUGGAAUAAAGGUCCUGGCAAUUCAAACAACAUAUUGCAUUUUCAGACAUACUGGCUACCUAUUUAGUGAAUUUAUUUUACUGCACCUGUAUUUGUUUUGCUUUUAAUAGACAGGAAACUAUAAUCAAAAUUUUGGUAUAAGUUUCACAACAGUAUAUGCUGGUUAUUCCUAUAAAGCAAAUCUAAGGAUUUAAAAAUGAAUUCCAAGAUGUUCUGAACUCAAUUAUUAUGGACAAAUUAAUUUUUUUUUGUUUCCUCACUAAACCGACUGUCAUGAUCUCUUUCCAAUCCAAUGCCUUUCACAGAUAAAUAUUUGGGGCCUACUGAGCAUAUGUGGCAGCUGGUAGAAAAGUAUUGGAUCCUGUGAUUUAUUUGAUGUGUUCAUUGUUAUUAUGCUGCAUGUGAUAAUGCCAAAUGUGAAGACCUUCUUAAGGAGCAAGUGCAUCAAGUUGCUGUCAAUAGGAAACAGCAAUGUUUUACAUUGUCCAAAAAGGGACCGCGUAUUUGCACUAAAGCCACUAAAUUAAGAUGUAGAAUUAUUGCUGUUAGGGUGCAUGUUUAGGUUAUUCCACAAAGUGUUCCUAUUGGUAAACUUACUGCUUUAAGAUAUUGUGCAGAAUUAUCUGCCUUCCCUCAUAUGAAGGAAACAACAUAAGCUUAGGGGAUGCCGUGUUGAUCAUUUGGAGAUA